UGGGGAAUAUUGCACAAUGGGCGCAAGCCUGAUGCAGCCAUGCCGCGUGUAUGAAGAAGGCCUUCGGGUUGUAAAGUACUUUCAGUCGGGAGGAAGGUGUCAAGGUUAAUAACCUUGGCAAUUGACGUUACCGACAGAAGAAGCACCGGCUAACUCCGUGCCAGCAGCCGCGGUAAUACGGAGGGUGCAAGCGUUAAUCGGAAUUACUGGGCGUAAAGCGCACGCAGGCGGUUGAUUGAGUCAGAUGUGAAAUCCCCGGGCUUAACCCGGGAAUUGCAUCUGAUACUGGUCAGCUAGAGUCUUGUAGAGGGGGGUAGAAUUCCAUGUGUAGCGGUGAAAUGCGUAGAGAUGUGGAGGAAUACCGGUGGCGAAGGCGGCCCCCUGGACAAAGAAUGACGCUCAGGUGCGAAAGCGUGGGGAGCAAACAGG
rnacentral:rRNA from 1 species